rnacentral:rRNA from 1 species
UACGUAGGGCGCAAGCGUUGUCCGGAAUUAUUGGGCGUAAAGAGCUCGUAGGCGGCCUGUUACGUCUGCUGUGAAAUCCCGGGGCUUAACCCCGGGCGUGCAGUGGAUACGGGCAGGCUGGAGGCAGGCAGGGGAGAACGGAAUUCCCGGUGUAGCGGUGAAAUGCGCAGAUAUCGGGAGGAACACCGGUGGCGAAGGCGGUCUCUGGGCCUGUACUGACGCUGAGGAGCGAAAGCGUGGGGAGCAAACAGG